rnacentral:rRNA from 1 species
CCUACGGGUAGCAGCAGUGAGGAAUAUUGCGCAAUGGGGGAAACCCUGACGCAGCGACGCCGCGUGAGUGAGGAAGGCCUUCGGGUCGUAAAGCUCUGUCAAAGGGAAAGAAGUGCAUGAUGGCUAAUACCUGUCAUGUUUGACGGUACCCUUAAAGGAAGCACCGGCUAACUCCGUGCCAGCAGCCGCGGUAAUACGGAGGGUGCAAGCGUUGUUCGGAAUCACUGGGCGGAAAGGGCGCGUAGGCGGUUUGAUAAGUCAGAUGUGAAAGCCCACGGCUUAACUGUGGAAGUGCAUUUGAAACUGUCAGACUUGAGUAUCAGAGGGGAAAGGGGAAUUCCCGGUGUAGAGGUGAAAUUCGUAGAUAUCGGGAGGAAUACCGGUGGCGAAGGCGACUUUCUGGCUGAAUACUGACGCUGAGGCGCGAAAGCGUGGGGAGCAAACA